UACGAAGGGGGCUAGCGUUGCUCGGAAUCACUGGGCGUAAAGCGCACGUAGGCGGAUUGCUAAGUCAGGGGUGAAAUCCUGGAGCUCAACUCCAGAACUGCCUUUGAUACUGGCGAUCUCGAGUCCGGGAGAGGUGAGUGGAACUGCGAGUGUAGAGGUGAAAUUCGUAGAUAUUCGCAAGAACACCAGUGGCGAAGGCGGACUCACUGGCCCGGUACUGACGCUGAGGUGCGAAAGCGUGG
rnacentral:rRNA from 1 species